rnacentral:rRNA from 1 species
UUAGAUACCCCACUAUUAAAAAUUUAAAUAAAUAAUACAAAAAUAGUAUAUAAUUAUUUAUAAAAACUAAAAUAAUUUGGCGGUAUUUUAGUUUAUUUAGAAGAAUCUGUUUAUUAAUUGAUAUUCCACGAAUAAAUUUACUUAAUUUAUUUAAUUUUGUAUAUCGUUGUGAAAAAAAUAUUUUAAAAUAAUAAUAAUAUUUUAAUUUUGAUAUUAAAAGUAAAAUCAGAUCAAGAUGCAGAUUAUAAUUAAGAAUAUAAUGCAUUACAAUAAAUUUAUUUAAUUGGAUGUUAUUUUUAAAAAUUAAUUGAAAUUGGAUUAAAAUGUAAUUUAAUUUAAUUU